UUGCUCAAGCAAUUUUAGAGGAAUAGCUCUAAAAUAAGUGGCUUUCCCAGGAUCAAAGGCAGAGCCAUUUUGCUGAAGGUGACAAUGGAGUGAGCCAUGCAAGAGGACAAUUCUGGGCACCAACAAUCCGAUUGCUGAUCCUUCAAGUGUGCAUGUGCAGCUGGCUUUUGCUUUCCUAGCUGAUCCUGCUGAAAUUAGUGAAAAGCAGUGCUGGGUUAACAGUUGGACUCAAAAUCUUUGAGGUCUUUUCCAACCUUAAGGAUUAUGUGAAUCUUUUGAGCUGAGGAGAGCGCUAGGAUCUGUUUUAAUCCGCACUGGCCAAUGCAGCCCUGGCUGGUGAGGAAUGUGACACCAGUGAUCCAGGUGUCACAAGGAACUCCUGAUGCUGCCUCUCCCUCCCUUCCCAAGCCUGUGGCAGCACCUUUCCUGGGAUGUGAGGGGAUUUAUUUUGGAGGCAGAGAGGAGAGGAAAACCGACUUGUCAGGAAAUUUGGCUGGACUUGUUUGAGUGAGGCUGACUGGAAAACAGCUGUGUGUGCACGGAGCAGAGACUGCACCCCUGCACUGCCAGGGUGGGAUGGCAGGAAAGCCCUUUUGCUUUUUCUCUGGGGUUUUUUGGUGUUUUUUGUUUGUUUGUUUGUUUUUAAGAAACAGAAAUACAAGACCUGAUUGGCAGCCUGGGAGGAGAAACCUGAGGUGCCUGAGGGCCUGGACUCAUGGGAGCAUCCCAAAACACUUGUCAGUCCCUGGAGGUGUCUGUUACCCCAACAAGUGCCAGUCCUCAUGGAGCUGAUUCAGAACAAAGCUGCAGAGCAGGUGUUGGAAGGGUCAGGUGAGUAGGGCAGAAGUGGCCUGCACUUAAAAUCCCUCCCCCUUUUUUAUGAAUGUAUAAAUAAAAUGAUGUAAACCCAAACUGCCCGGCCACGCCAAGACCUUUGCUUGGCAAAGCCUUUGCCUUACUUUUGAUGUUAGAUGAACAUCUAGUAAGCUUAAUUAAAGUUUAAUUAGUGUAAGUAGGGUAAAUGUGGUAGGUCAGCAGGCACAGCAGAUGUUAAAAUACUGUUGGCAAUAAUCAACCUGACCAUAAAAAAAAGAGGAAAAAUUCCCUUCUUAAAAAAAUAAAUACCUCUACGUGACUGGUUUAGACAUGUCAUCUCUCAAGGGUGUUGUUUUUUAUUUUACUUUCUUUCCCCAGGCAAUACUGACCAAUCAGUUUCUUCACAUCAGUGAAAAGAGAAAAAAAAUCAGUUUUUGUCCUUUACUGUGCUCUGGAAUUUCGCCCUAAACAUUUUCUGGAGUCUGGGCAUAUGCCACAGGGAGGUCUCUCACUGCUUUCUGAUCUUCUCUUCAGCUGAGAGCCACACAGUGAGGGCUGUGGCUGCACAGCCCAGCUGAGUUUAUUAAGGAUCUGAUAAUGAUUUUUAAGGGCUUUCAGUGAAAUUCAGGAGUGCAUCACCAGUCUGGCUGGCCACUCUUACUUAGGAUGUCCUUGGCAGCUAUGGGUGGUGUUUCCUCAACUUUGAAAGGAAAUUUGGACGUGAUUUGGGUAUUUUGGCAUGCAGGUAUCUGUGUUUAUCUGUGGUGAUCCCUGUUUUUUGUCUGUUGGGUGCUGGUGGGAGCACAACUGGGCCAUCGAGCCCUGCGGAUGAACCUUGACCUGUUCUGGGAUGUGCUCUUGGAUCAGGAACCCCACUCUGGCCACGAGGCUUUGCAUCACUGGAUGUGAUCCCUCUGGAGGUGCUGCCAGACCAUUGAGUGCUCCAUCCCUGCCCUCCAGACACCCUCUUCCUGGAGGAAAGUCGGCAGCUUUGGGUUUAUUCCAUCUUUUCAGCCAUGCCAAAGCCUAUUUAAUACCAGCCCUGAAGCACUGAAGGCUGCAGCCAGACACGAAGCUCAUCCCUGAGGAUGAGGAGGGAGCUUGGAGCAGGCAGUGCAGCAAAGAGAUGCAUCAGCACCUGCUCCCAGCUGCAGGAGAAGGAAGGAGUGCUGGGAGCUCCCUCCCCACAAGUGCAGAGCUCAAGCAUCCCUUUCUUUGGUCAGGAUGUGCCUCCUCCAUGCCAUCUUUGGAGUCCCAGGUGCUGUUGGAGCUCCUCCACGACCUCAGCCCUGCAUCCAUGGGGGACAUGGAGAGGAAACCUCAGCCAGGGCUGGAUGUGCCUGGGCCAUUUCCCUUCUGGAGAAAAGAGAGCCUCCAAAAUCUAUAAAUCAACCAUCUCUGAAAUGGUGUGGGAUUAAGGAAAAGGUGCAGAAUAGAAAUUAUUUCCUCGGGAGAAAGCAGCAGAUAAUUUCAUCUGCCUGGGAAAAUGAUGUCUCCAUCAGUUGUCUUCAGGAGACUCCAAAAAGAGUUAAAGGGGGGCUCAGAGUGUGCAGUUAUUGUGGAAUUUUGGAAUCCCACACUGGUUUAGGUGGCAAGGGACCUCAAAGCCCGUCCCAUUCCACCUGGGUUGCUCCAAGCUCUCUCCAACCUGGCCAGGGAUCCAGGGGCAUCAAUGACCAAGUUGGCUUCUCUGGGGUGGAAAAAAGGUCCCAGCUCUGCACUGCCAUGAAGGGAUCUUUUAUUUAUCAACAGAGCCACGGGAUGUGAAUUUCUCCAACGCCUUCACUGAGCUGUCACACAGAAACUGAGCUGCUAUUAAGCAGCUUUGGGCUGCAGCCAGUUCAUUAGAGCAAACUUUCAUCCAAUUAUCAUUACUCUUAUUAUUAUUUUUAUUAUGAUGCCUCCUGCUCUGUUGUAAAUUGGAGAGUUUUCCUGGGGUUCUUGUUGGACUUUUUUGAGUUGUCUCAAAACUGGAUGGCAAAUUUCCUUCCUUCCUUCCUUCCUUCCUUCCUUCCUUCCUU